rnacentral:misc_RNA from 1 species
GAUGAAGAACGUAGCGAAAUGCGAUAAGUAGUGUGAAUUGCAGAAUUCAGUGAAUCAUCGAAUCUUUGAACGCACCUUGCACCCUUUGGCAUUCCGAAGGGUAUGCUCGUUUGAGUGUCAUUGUACUCUCACACUCCCAAUUGCUUUGGAUUGGGAGCGGUGGACUUGGGUGUUGCUGCUUGACUGAGGCUCACCUGAAAUAUGUUAGUGCACCUCUUGAUUGGACAUAGUACGGCGUGAUAAGUGUCUUCGCCGGCUCCUCGCAAAGAGGGUGGCCGAUCGGGAGCUCUGUUGCUUCAAACUGUCUUCGGACAAUCUUCUGGCGACUUGACCUCAAAUCGAGUAGGACUACCCGCUGAACUUAAGCAUAUCAAUAAGCGGAGGA